AAAUUCUACUUUAAAGUUCGUUCUGUUUUUGCAAUUUUCUUUUUACGUGUAAUGGCUAGUGCAUUUUAUACCACCGAUAAGCCUGAACUUUUAGCUUCAUAUCCACAAAUAAAACAGACUUUGAAAGCAGGAAGUUCUGAAAACAUUAAGGAAAAAUAUGAUGUGAAUCAAUGCGUUCAAUUUAUUAAGGAUAAUGGUGUCACUAAGGUGGCGUUGCAAUUUCCUGAUGAAAUGUUAAAUGAUGCUGUUGCUGUCACUGAAUAUUUACAACUUCAAACUGAUGCAAAUAUCUAUCUGUUAGCUGAUACUUCUUAUGGAAAUUAUGAUGUAGAUGAAGUAGCAGCACAACAUGUACAAGCAGAUUUAAUCAUUCAUUUUGGAAAAGCUUCACUCACAUCAACUUCUAAAACAAAAACUCUUUUUGUUCUCGGCAAAAUGAAUUUGUCGAUUGAAGAAGUUGUUGCUUCGUUUAAACAAGUUUUUCCAACUAGUGAAAGUCAUGUCUUUAUUUUUGCGGAAUCUACUUAUGUUCAUGCUUUAGAUGAAAUAUACAAACAACUCUUACCAAGUUAUCCCAACCUAUCACUUGGUUUGUUGAAACCCAAUGAAACAGAGAAUGAUCGCACAGCUUGUUCAAACCCAUGCACAGAAUGCUCAUGUACACGUGACACUGAAGAACAACAAACAAUAUCAGGUCAUUCUCCAAACCUCACAACAAGUGUCACUUCAAAUUCAAAUGAAAAUUCCAAUACAUACUCAACAUCAAAAUAUUGCUUCCCAUUAAACGAAAAUAAGUCACCAACAGAAUAUUCCUUGUUUUUUAUCGGUUCAAAUGAAAGUGAAGAUUUAAAAAUGUUUUUGUUUCAACUUCCUACGAUAACUGGUUACGUGUUUGAUCCGGAUACAAAAACUUGUAAUUCAACCGUAUCAAAUAUCAAAAGACAACUUGCAAAGAAAUAUUACUUAGUGGAAAAACUGAAAGAUGCAAAAACAAUUGGAAUCGUGGUCGGUACAUUAGGAAUGGCAGGAUAUUUAGAGAUAAUAGAACAUCUCAAACAUAUUAUUUCACUGACUAAAAGGAAGUCAUAUACCUUUGUUGUCGGCAAAAUUAAUCCUGCAAAACUUGCAAACUUUUCAGAGAUUGAUGUGUUUGUUGUUGUAGCGUGUCCGGAACAAACUAAUUUAGAUUCAAGUGAAUAUUUCAAACCCCUUGUCACACCAUAUGAAGUGGAAGUUGCAUACAAUGCUAAUAGAGAGUGGGGUGAACCGUACGUUUUCAAUUUCCGUGACCUAUUACCAGGUGGUUCCAGUUACGUGGAGUUUAGUCCUUCUACGGAAGAAACCAUAUCCUUAAUUACCGGUGAAAUUCGUAAUAAUUUAAAUGAAAAUAUAAAUGGAGACAACCAACUAGAAGUGAGAAGUAAUGAAAAUGCCCUUUCUGUUUUUCAUCCAAAUUCAUCAGUUUAUCGUUACAUUGGUUCAACAUGGAAAGGCCUUGAACAGAAAUUAGGAGAAACUGAAGUUACAUUGGCUGAAGAUGGAAGAAGUGGUUUGCCUGUUCAUUAUUCAAGUGAAUGCACAUGAUAUGUAGGUAUUUAUAUCAACCAUACAAGAUGAAGCAAAUACUGUUAAUUACUUUCAGGUUUAUUCACACAUACACAGAUGUUUAAAGCGAGGGGAAUCAAAAUUGUGACAUAAUCGGGUUGUGAUUAUCCAUUCAACAUUUACUCAGGUGUUGACAACCAUGACCAUGAUAUGUAAUUAUUUCAUGCAAUUAGAAAUACUGUGCGAAUUUAUGAUAAAAAUCAAUCAUAUGCCAAUAUAGUUCAAUGCAUUUAACCAAACCUAAUAUGUAUUAUUGAUUAUUAUUGAUGGAUUGGUGAAUUCUAAAUGCUUGUAUUUGCGUAAUUGAGUGACUGGUUAUCCCUUAGGAGUUAUAUAGCCUUACGAGAUGCUCUGCCACGAUAUUGAAGGUGGUUAAUUUCGCAGUGUAAGUCGCUAUAUUGAAACUGUUUUCUCUUGUUUGAACGAAAUAUGUGCACGCAGUACGUUUAUGGAGAUAAUUAUAGUGUAACCACACGUGUGA